ACAUAAGAAAAGAGAUCUCCUUGAAUGUCUGUCUGGUGAUAAGAACACAUGGAUACUGGGGCAUUGUUCUGGUUGCUAGUAGAAACUCUGAUAUGAAAUUAGAGCAUGAUCCCCAAAGUUCACUGGCCGUGAAUGCAGUCCCUGUAGCUCUUUUAAAGACUACGAAAUCUAAGUCACAUUGGCCAGAAAGACCUGAUAAGUUGUGGAAUUCGGAGAACGAAGGAGAAAAGAUUAAGAAAACAAACAAGCAAAAUCACCCUUUCCCUUCCACUCUGUACUCUCCUCAAGACCAAUGUAUCUUCUAAAGCUAAAGACAUAGCAGAAGCCACAAAAGAAGAAUGUGUUUUUCUUCCUCCUCUUCUAACCAAAGCAGCAGCUAAUCCUCCUGGCUUCAAUACAAAGCAAAAAAGGAGCAUUUCUUUCCUCAAUCAAAUAAUCCCUCACCAUUAUAGGAUGAGACAUCCCUUCCUUUUUUCUUGUCUGCAGUAUUUUGCAGCUGUGUUGCAAGAAACUCACAAAUCAUCCCUGAAGGUCAGUGAAAUUGAUAACUUCUGCUUUUGCUUGUGGAAUAGAGGAUCAUCAAGAGAUUCAUCUUCUAAGAAACUCCCCUUCAUUGCCGCUGUUGACAAGCAGGGGGGUUGUUGGUGCCAAUUGAUUUCUCUUUGAUUUCUUGGCUGCAUGGAGCCUUCAACAUAAGAGUCAAUUUAGAGUCAAAAGCCCCAAAGUGAUUUAGUAGCUUCCGUGUGAGGAACAGCAGAGUCCAGGAGAGCUUACAAGUCUUGAUUGUGGCAUAUGCUUUGGCAUUACUACAGAAUGAGCUUCAAAUUCUUUGCCCUCCUCUAUCUUACAGCUUAGUGAUCUCAUAAGAGAAUACAGGAAAACAAGAAGAGGGUGUAGAAAUUCAGAAACUGAACAGAAUUAUGCAUAUUUCCACUUUUCAUUAUAAUUCCAAAGUUACUGUUUUUAAUUACAGGAAAUAGCUAUCAUUAAAUGUAAAGUAUUUGUUGUAAUAGCAGAUUCUCUUCUAUUGAAAUGAAUGGCAAAAUGCCCAGGAAGUAUUAUACAUUACUUUAGAUUGCUUAAUAUAGUGGGUUUAUCCCCAAAACAUGUGUUAAAUAUUGCAUAAAUUCAAUGUAAUGUGCAUUUAAGACUGCAAAAGAAUUUAGAAAUAUUAUUGUUCUGAAUGCUCACUUCCAGGGACCUCCAGAAAGCAUUGCUUGAGUUGUAAUGUGAUCCAACCUAGCAUGAUCAAGAAAGUGAAAAUAUUUGUUUGUUCGCAGCAGGUUAGAUUUUCAGUUUUACAUACUCCUAUGUGUUAUUUGUUGACUUGAGUGUCUCAAUAAUCUAUCACAUGAAACAAUACAGGCAAAACUGGGCAUGAGACAAAAAUUGACAACAUUAAAUUUUGAACAAUGGUGCAAUAGAAAAAUCUACCACCAAUAGGUUUGGGGGUUCUGUAUUUCCCAUUUUGUGUGCUAGUGUUAAAAAGGUUAUGUAGGCAGCUGUUGCUCUUCUAGCCACUAUGGAUGUUCCCUCUUAAUUUAACAUUGAAUGUAUUGUUGGCCUUGGGGUGGGGGUGUACGGGUGGCAUCUACUAUUAAAAUGGCAGUGUAUUGUCAACCAAUUGAAGGUUUUUAGUUUUGUUUUCAAAGUAUAAUAGCUGUUUUGGGUUUGAUUAAUUUUGCUGUCAUCUGCAUUGCUGUUUUUGUUUAUUUUUUGAGAAUUAUAGUAUGACGAUCUGCUACAUUAGACUCUCAGUUAUCUGACACUCAUGGGGAUUGAUAGAUGACAGAUAAAUAUAGUUUCUGAGAGUUAUGAUUAAAAAUAGGUUUAACUAAUACUAUACCCCAUAUCAUAUCAUACCAUACAAUAAACUCUGUAUUUGAUAUUAAUGUUAAAAUACAAUAAUUAAAAUAACUUUGUCUUUACUUUUAAAAUUUAAGUUAAUGUAACACAGUUUUACUGUAUUAUACAUAUAUAUUUUUAUUUAAAGUAUUAUUUCUUUACAAAAUUCAUUGCUUGUUGCUUGAGAAUUUUGGUUAUUUGAGUUCUGGUUCACUGAGAAUCUAUUGUAGAGGUUUGCAUAUCUUUUAAACUGUAUUUACUAUAACCACCCUGAUAUCUAUUGUAUUCAAAAGGUAACAGCAACAGCCCAAACCAUUUUGGUCCCUGGUAAUCUUCCUUUCAUUCCAUAUACAGAAAUCAAAUGGAUUGAUAGUUGAAACUUCAGUAAAGCCAGUGGGAAAAGAUACUCUGCAGAAAUGAGGGCAAUAAGCCAGUUUAAGGAGCAUAUAACAAUGUGUGUACUGAUGCCUCUGUCCGAGAAGAAAAUGGCCAGAGACUAAAUGAGGCAGAGGGUGGACUGCUGCUACUACCUCCUCUAGUAUCAGACACUUGAGGUUUAAUUCAGUCAUGCCACCGGAAUCACCGUGGAUUGUGGCGAUUCUUGUCGUACAUGUCCAAGGGCAAGGGAAUCUGUUAAAAGUUUAAAAGCAAUGAUUUUGGGUUGGAAAGAUUAGCCGUUUACAAGAAACGUUGCCCGGGGGACGCCCAACUGGAUUCACUCAGUCUUCGAGGAGGCUCUUUCUAUGUUCCCCAGGAAUCUGUUGCCCCACACCCCGCAUCAUCCCGGCUUCUCCCCUAUUUUAUCACAUGGGGGAAGCGUCUGCUGCCCGAUUUGCCCCGCUGAGGGCAAUGCAAUCAUGGAAGCCUCCCAUGUUGUAAUUUUUGCUGUUUUUUCAGCACCAACUCUGGUUCCACAGCAGUUUUGUCACAGAGUCGCCAUGGAAGUACUUCUACAGUGUGUGAUGGGAGCUGGUGGGCUUCGUAGCAAAGCUGCUGUGGAAACUGGAAAUUGCAAUGACUCCUGUUUUGUCAAAUGGAUUAUUAGGAACCCUGGAAGGGGUGCUUGCAUCUUGAUGAGCAACCAUACUGGUUUUUUUUUUGUUUUUUUUAAAAAAACCUUCACUUUGUGUAUGCACAAAAAUUAGAUUUUAUAUUGAAAUAUAAAGCCCUGGUGGCACAGUGUGUUAAAGUGCUGAGCUGCUGAACUUGCGGACCGAAAGGUGCCAGGUUCAAAUCCCGGGAGUGGAAUGAGCGCCUGCUGUUAGCCCCAGCUCCUGCCAACCUAGCAGUUCGAAAACAUGCAAAUGUGAGUAGAUAAAUAGGUACCGCUCUGGCAGGAAGGUAAUGGUGCUCCAUGCGGUCAUGCUGGCCACAUGACCUUGGCGGUGUCUAUGGACAAUGCCGGCUCUUCGGCUUAGAAAUGGAGAUGAGCACCAACCCCCAGAGUCGGUCACGACUGGACUUAACGUCAGGGGAAACCUUUACCUUACCUUUACCUUUAUAAAGCAAUCAUCACACUGCAACACAUUCCUAAGUAAAAAGUAUGCCUUAAUGUCCUAACUAGUGCCAGUUUAAUUCUCUCUAUUUGUCUGCACUGUUUACAAUAGAAGAUUUGGGAAUACAUUUGUCACUUUAUUUCUUUUGUAUGUUUUAUAUUAGUCCUGAGGAAUGUAUGUCUUAAUGUCUUGACUUGUGCUAGUUUAAUUCUCCAACUCUUUUUGUCUGUACUGUUUAUGCUAAAGGAUAUGGGUUUAUAUCUGUUGCUUUAUUUCUUCUGUGUGUUUUAGAUUAGUCCCGAGGAAUAAUAUUUGGUACUAAUUAUCUUUAUAGCUGGAGAGGCUGCAAAACCACACACAACAUGGGUACCUUUUCAUUAUGUCAUUUCAACAUGAAGAAAAUGCAAUGUGAAAAAUAUGGAUAGCACAUAUGAAUGGGAUGUGGAAAGGUUGGAUUAUGGAAUUGUUUAUUAGUUUCCCUUUGUUUGUGCGAGGAAAGCUAGGGAAACAUGCUUGUGGUGUGGCAGAAUAUUUGCAUCAUGUUUAUUCAUCAUUAGCUAUAAAUAAACUUCAUACAUUUUAUAUGGUCACAGUAUUCUUUGAUUUAUUACACAUGAAGGGAAAAGACCAAUUAGAGUUUUGGAAGCAGAAUAUCUAAAAAAUUAAAUAUUGAGAACUGGCCUCCCUCCAAUCAUAUUUUAUUUUGAAGAUGAGCAACCAGCUCUGAUUUUUAAUAAGGGUGCAUCCACACUGUAGAAUUAAUCCAAUUUGGCAACACUUUAACUGCUAUGACUCAAUGUUAUGGAAUCAUGGGACACUGUCUUUAGUCUUCUCUGCCAAAUAAUCCUACUGCCUCAUCAAACUAUAAAUCCCAGGAUUCCAUAGUCUCCCGCCACGACACAUAAUAUGGUGUCAAACCACAUUAAUUCUACUAUGUACAUGCACCAUAAAAUUACUUACUACUUUUUUUAAAAAAAUCAAAUAACUUACUAACACUUCAAAUGAAAAUUGUAGAAUUUCCUUUGUAGAUAUUAAUAAUACAUUUAAUACUUAAUAUGGUGUCAAACCACAUUAAUUCUACUGUGUAGAUGCACCAUAAAAUUACUAUUUUUUUAAAAAAAAAUCAAAUAACUCAAUAACACUUCAAAUUAAAAUUGUAGAAUUUCCUUUGUAUAUAUUAGUAAUACUUUUAACUCUCUGGGGGUGCUAAAUAUCUGAAAAAUGCAAAUAUCAAAAAUUUUUGACUAGCUUUUAGCUGGGCCAGAUAUAAUGCAAUCAAAUUAGCCAUGCUAGAGUGUAGAUUCAAAAGGACUGAAUAUAGACACAAGGUAUGCCCUUGUGGGGAGAAAAAAGUCUAAACUAUAACACAUGUGCUUCUUAUCUGUACAAUCUACAAAGAUGAUAGACAGAGGUUAAUAUCCUCUUUACUCACCAACAGGUCAGGAAGAACUUUAAAUUGGUACCAUAGUUAUCUAUGUCUGAUCUCAACAGAGAAGGUGGCCAAAUUUCUUUUUACAGCAGCAAAAAGCCACAAGUGCUUCAUAAACA